rnacentral:ncRNA from 1 species
CAAAACGCUGUGAUAAGAAAAGUAGAUCAUGUGCGAUGAGCAAAGCGAGCGUCGAUUGGUGAAAGGGCGUCAAAUCAAACAUCAUUGAAAAUCAUCUUUGAGCGAUGAAUGCGAAAUUUGAGCGUUCAUUGGGUGCUCCCAUUAUAGAGCUAGAGUAUUCGAAAGUAAGUCUUUCACGUACUUGAAAAGGUUGUUAUUGUGAAAUAACAACAAAUGAAGGUGGUAUCACGUUAACUAACGUCCUGAUU